CAACCCUCAAGCUCUGCUUGGUAUUAGGCCUCACCUGCUAAGGUGGGUCGUAAAAUCAGUGGCGGUGCCAUUUGGCUUCAAGCGUAGUAACUAUCUUUCGCUUUGGAAUUCCAAUUGUGUAACCUGCCAAUAACCCCAAAUUUAUCAAA
rnacentral:misc_RNA from 1 species